AUACGUAGGUGACAAGCGUUAUCCGGAUUUACUGGGCGUAAAGGGCGUGUAGGCGGUCUUGCAAGUCAGAAGUGAAAUUCCUGAGCUCAACUCGGGCGCUGCUUCUGAAACUGCAGGACUUGAGUGCUGGAGGGGAUAGCGGAAUUCCUAGUGGAGCGGUAAAAUGCGCAGAUAUUAGGAAGAACACCGGUGGCGAAGGCGACUUCCUGGCACAAUACUGACGCUCAUGUGCGAAAGCUAGGGUAGCGAACGGGAUUAGAUACCCCGGUAGUCCUAGCCGUAAACGAUGGAUACUAGGUGUGGGUGUCGCAGGGCAUCCGUGCCGCAGCUAACGCGUUAAGUAUCCCGCCUGGGGACUACGGUCGCAAGACUGAAACUCAAAUGAAUUGACGGGG
rnacentral:rRNA from 1 species